rnacentral:rRNA from 1 species
CCUACGGGAGGCAGCAGUGAGGAAUAUUGGACAAUGGGCGCAAGCCUGAUCCAGCCAUGCCGCGUGCAGGAAGACGCAUCUAUGGUGUGUAAACUGCUUUUGUACGGGAAGAAACACUCCCUCGUGAGGGAGCUUGACGGUACCGUAAGAAUAAGGAUCGGCUAACUCCGUGCCAGCAGCCGCGGUAAUACGGAGGAUCCAAGCGUUAUCCGGAAUCAUUGGGUUUAAAGGGUCCGUAGGCGGUUUAAUAAGUCAGUGGUGAAAGCCCAUCGCUCAACGAUGGAACGGCCAUUGAUACUGUUAGACUUGAAUUACUAGGAAGUAACUAGAAUAUGUAGUGUAGCGGUGAAAUGCUUAGAUAUUACAUGGAAUACCAAUUGCGAAGGCAGGUUACUACUAGUGGAUUGACGCUGAUGGACGAAAGCGUGGGGAGCGAACAGGAUUAGAUACCCUGGUAGUCCACGCCGUAAACGAUGGAUACUAGCUGUUGGGCGCAAGUUCAGUGGCUAAGCGAAAGUGAUAAGUAUCCCACCUGGGAGUACGUUCGCAAGAAUGAAACUCAAAUGAAAUUGACGG